AUGUAGGGUCUAAUAUAUUCUAAAGGCACCAGAUUCCAUCUGAUCUUGGAAGCUAAGCAGUAUUUGCCCUUAAUAGUACUUGGAUGGGAGACUACCAAUGAACAUUAGGUGCUGUUGGCU
rnacentral:rRNA from 1 species